rnacentral:misc_RNA from 1 species
GAUGAAGAACGUAGCGAAAUGCGAUAAGUAAUGUGAAUUGCAGAAUUCAGUGAAUCAUCGAAUCUUUGAACGCACAUUGCGCCCGCCAGUAUUCUGGCGAGCAUGCCUGUUCGAGCGUCAUUUCAACCAUCAAGCCCCAGGCUUGUGUUGGAGCCCUGCGGCUGCCGCAGCCUCCCAAAACCAGUGGCGGGCUCGCUAUCACAGCGAGUGCAGUAGUUUACUCUUCGCUCAGGGCGUGUGGCGGGUGCUAGCCGUGAAACCCCCAACUUCUCAAGGUUGACCUCGGAUCAGGUAGGAAUACCCGCUGAACUUAAGCAUAUCAAUAAGCGGAGGA